UAGGGAAUAUUAAUAAUGGGCGAAAGCCUGAACUAGCGACACCGCGUGUGCGAAGAAGGCCUUCGGGUUGUAAGCACCUUUAGAGAGGAUGAGGAAGGCCGGUACUCUCUGAAUAAGUCUCGGCCAACUACGUGCCAGCAGCCGCCGUAACACCUUGGAGGCAAACGUUAUCCGGAUUUACUGGGUGUAAAGCGCGUGUAGGUGGUUCUGUAAGUAGGGCGUGAAAGCUCCCGGCUCAACUGUGAGAGGCCGUUCUAAACUGCAGAGCUAGAGGAUGGUAGAGGGAGGUGGAAUUCCGGGUGUAGCGGUGGAAUGCGCAGAUAUCCGGAGGAACACCAGUGGCGAAGGCGACCUCCUGGGCCACUCCUGACACUCAGACGCGAAAGCUAGGGUAGCAAACGG
rnacentral:rRNA from 1 species